rnacentral:tRNA from 1 species
AAUCAUAUUGCAUUAAUAUGUGUAAGCGAAGAGUUUCAAUCUCUUAAGCGAGAGUUAGAAUCUCUCUAUGUUCG